rnacentral:rRNA from 1 species
GAUCACUGUAACGCCCUGAGUGUUGCGGAUGUUUCGCAGAAGUUGACCGAACUUGAUUAUUUAGAGGAAGUAAAAGUCGUAACAAGGUUUCCGUAGGUGAACCUGCGGAAGGAUCAUUAAAGUUCUCCUUUCAAGUUAUAAACAAAAACACAAUAUAUAAAAUACUUAUAUUGUAAAAUUAUGGCAAAUGCCAAAAAGAAACAAAAUAACAAUAAUAAAAAUGUUUAUUAUUGUAUCGCCUCCUAGGCAAAAAAGUAUAGUAUAAAGUGUUUGUGUGUGUUACACAUUACACAAAAAUUGACUUAUUUAUAUAAAAUUUGUAAAAACUGAAAUUGUGUGGACGUUAUACAAAAUUAAUUUGUAUAGAAAAUGUCUAAAAAUUUGAAAUACAUAAAAUUAUAGUUGUACUUGUAUAAAAUUGAAAAGUAAUUUUUUAUAUAAGUCAAUCAUUGUUCGUUUUUUAAGAACUUGAGACAUUCGCAACAAAAAUUUUAUGUUUUAGUUAUAAAAGAGAAGAAUAAUAAGCAAAAAUUAUUGAAGGAAUUGAUAUAUGCCAAUUUGAAACUUUUUGGUGUAUUUUUGAUUUCUUUC